UCCAGACUCCUACGGGAGGCAGCAGUGGGGGAUAUUGCACAAUGGGGGAAACCCUGAUGCAGCGACGCCGCGUGGGUGAAGAAGUAUUUCGGUAUGUAAAGCCCUAUCAGCAGGGAAGAAAGAAGACGGUACCUGACUAAGAAGCCCCGGCUAACUACGUGCCAGCAGCCGCGGUAAUACGUAGGGGGCGAGCGUUAUCCGGAUUCACUGGGUGUAAAGGGAGCGUAGACGGCCGUGCAAGCCAGGAGUGAAAGCCCGGGGCCCAACCCCGGGACUGCUCUUGGAACUGUGCGGCUGGAGUGCGGGAGGGGCAGGCGGAAUUCCUGGUGUAGCGGUGAAAUGCGUAGAUAUCAGGAGGAACACCGGCGGCGAAGGCGGCCUGCUGGACCGCGACUGACGUUGAGGCUCGAAAGCGUGGGGAGCGAACAGGAUUAGAUACCCUGGUAACA
rnacentral:rRNA from 1 species